AGGGAAUCUUCCACAAUGGACGAAAGUCUGAUGGAGCAACGCCGCGUGAACGAUGAAGGCCUUCGGGUCGUAAAGUUCUGUUGUAAGGGAAGAACAAGUGCCGCAGGCAAUGGCGGCACCUUGACGGUACCUUGCGAGAAAGCCACGGCUAACUACGUGCCAGCAGCCGCGGUAAUACGUAGGUGGCAAGCGUUGUCCGGAAUUAUUGGGCGUAAAGCGCGCGCAGGCGGCCUCUUAAGUCUGAUGUGAAAGCCCCCGGCUCAACCGGGGAGGGCCAUUGGAAACUGGGAGGCUUGAGUAUAGGAGAGAAGAGUGGAAUUCCACGUGUAGCGGUGAAAUGCGUAGAGAUGUGGAGGAGCACCAGUGGCGAAGGCGACUCUUUGGCCUAUAACUGACGCUGAGGCGCGAAAGCGUGGGGAGCAAAC
rnacentral:rRNA from 1 species